CACGCUCUUAGACUCGCUUCUCUAUAGUGGAAGUGCAAUUCUAUAGAAUAUGGUUAUUAGAAUGGAAUUCAAUUCUUUAAAUUUAAAUUCAUGGGAUGGGAGAUGGAAAUUGAUUCUAUAGAAUAUGGUUAUUAGAAUAUUAGAAUGGAAUUCAAUUCUUAUAGCACGCUCUUAGACUCGCUUCUCUAUAGUGGAAGUGCAAUUCUAUAGAAUAUGGUUAUUAGAAUGGAAUUCAAUUCUUUAAAUUUAAAUUCAUGGGAUGGGAGAUGGAAAUUGAUUCUAUAGAAUAUGGUUAUUAGAAUAUUAGAAUGGAAUUCAAUUCUUAUAGCACGCUCUUAGACUCGCUUCUCUAUAGUGGAAGUGCAGCAUAUAAGUAUCUCUCCCAUAUCCUCUUAGACUCGCUUCUCUAUAGUGGAAGUGCAGCAUAUAAGUAUCUCUCCCAUAUCCCCCAAUGAUCCAGACGGGGCCUAAAAGUAAUUCGGUAUCUAUCCUAAUAUUAAAGCGAGCCAAACAAAAUUUCAUCCGUCGUAAGUCCCACCAGUCAAAGGAAUAACGGGCCGAACUGGCCUCAGCCCAGGCCGUCCGUCCCGCCCAUCAACGGGACGCCUCUCACCCCCCACAGUGAUGGGUGGGAUAUUUCGCCAGCCUCCCGCUCCUUUCUUAUAGAGCGCUGGCAACCAGCAC
rnacentral:lncRNA from 1 species